UCCCAGAGAUGGGUGAAGAGAACCUUUUUUUCUGAACAGCUCAACCUUAAAAUGGUACCCCAGUAGCUCAAGAUUGAACCCUCAAAAACAGUUGUGGGGGAAGCUGUAAGACAAGGGAAGGGACUUUCACAUGUGAGCAGAGAACCAGCCC